rnacentral:tRNA from 1 species
AAAAUUUUAGUUUAAAUAAAAAUUUUUUAUUUACAAUAAAAAGAUUAAUUAUCUAAUUAAAAUUUUA